AACGAACGCUGGCGGCAUGCCUAACACAUGCAAGUCGAACGAGACCUUUGGGUCUAGUGGCGCAAGGGUGCGUAACGCGUGGGAAUCUGCCCUUGGGUUCGGAAUAACAGUGAGAAAUUGCUGCUAAUACCGGAUGAUGUCUUCGGACCAAAGAUUUAUCGCCCAGGGAUGAGCCCGCGUAGGAUUAGCUAGUUGGUGGGGUAAUGGCCUACCAAGGCGACGAUCCUUAGCUGGUCUGAGAGGAUGAUCAGCCACACUGGGACUGAGACACGGCCCAGACUCCUACGGGAGGCAGCAGUGGGGAAUAUUGGACAAUGGGCGCAAGCCUGAUCCAGCAAUGCCGCGUGAGUGAUGAAGGCCUUAGGGUUGUAAAGCUCUUUUACCAGGGAUGAUAAUGACAGUACCUGGAGAAUAAGCUCCGGCUAACUCCGUG
rnacentral:rRNA from 1 species